UUUUUUUUUUUUUUUUUUUUUUUUUUUUGAGAUGGAGUCUCUGUUGUCCAGGCUGGAGUGCAGAGGUGCAAUCUUGGCUCACUGCAACCUCUACUUCCUGGAUUCUGCCUAAGCCUCCCGAGUAGCUGGGAUUACAGGCACGUACCACCACGCCUGGCUAAUUUUUGUAUUUUCAGUAAAGACGGGGAUUCCCCAUGUUGGCCAGGCUGAUCUCAAACUCCUGACCUAAAGUGAUCCACCUGCCUCAGCCUCCCAAAGUGCUGAGAUUACGGGCAUGAGCCACUGCGCCUGGCUACCUCCUGUGCAUAUUAAAGCCACGUUCCACAGCGGAGAUCCAGGCAAAGGAUGUGCUUUGUAGACCACAUGAUGGAGAUUUGGGGUGUUUAGUUCUCAGUUCAUAGGAAAGGCCGGAAACCAGUUCACUUCGUCAUUUCAGCGAUCGCUGUCCUAGGUUUCAGGCACUUCAAUGUAACGUUGACAUGAGCCCUUCCUUUUCUUUCUUUUUCUUUUUUAAUAAACAGCCAGUUUUACUGAAAAACUGGCUGUUGUUACUUCCUGAUUCUAUGGAACUCUAAGUCAAAAUCAUAAAAGAUAGCAUCUAAGCAUAUUUCAUACUAACAUCCGGAAAUACUCACACCUAAAUUUUGAGAAACAAAAUGUCCCCCAGCUUUUUGCUGAUACUUCCACCAAUGUCACAGGAUUAUUUGUUUUAGAUUUUUUUUCUUUCCAAGCAGGCCUGGAGGUAAAUGAGCUGCUUGGAAAAGAUUGUUCUCAGAGUCUCAACAGGUCAGGUACAAAUGCAAAAAAUCUACAAAAUACUAAGGAUUGGGGCUGGGAGUUGGAAGUUCUCAUAACUGCAUAGUCCAGAGGAUAUAGUAGGGAUUAGCAUGAUCCCACUAGCUACCUAGAAGGUAGAAAGGGGAGACACAAAAUUUCCAAAUAAGCACAUCCUCAAACAUGCAUGGAAAAAUUAUGGUCAACUGAGAGACCAGGAUGGAAAGGAGAGGAAUUUGUGGGAAGAUGGAGGGUGUGCUAUAUGGAUGUGAAGUUCUUCUGAAUGUUUUUGAAUUCAAUUUUCCUCCAUCCAAAUGAAAGCUGACUUUAUAAAAUAGCACUUUUGGGAGGAAGGUAGAAGGAGGAAUCAUGCUUAAAAAAAUUAGCACAUUCUAAGUGAUCAGAUGUGAUCUUUAAUAUUGAAAGCCCUCAAAUUUAGUCAUUGGAAAGAGUCAAGCCCGGUUCCAGGGCUAGCAUCUAAUUAGUUUACAACUUCCUGAAUCAAUACCAAACAAAUGAUGAAAUAAAGUAGAUAAACUAGCUUUCUAUAGCAUUUACCUUUAUUUUCUGUGUGCUACAUAAGGUACCAGAGGAAAGAGCCUUUGCAAAAAAUAAAAACAAAAAUGAAUAAGCCCAGAACAACUUGGGGAUACUAUCUUCGUCUUGGACUGGUUUAUACUGGAACUCCUGGGAGGUGUCUGUGCUGUCUCUCACAGACAAAUACAAAAAAAAAAAAAA
rnacentral:lncRNA from 1 species